AGAUUCUUCGGAAUCUUGAGAGCGGCGCACGGGUGCGGAACACGUGUGCAACCUACCUUUAUCAGGGGGAUAGCCUUUCGAAAGGAAGAUUAAUACCCCAUAAUAUAUUGAAUGGCAUCAUUUGAUAUUGAAAACUCCGGUGGAUAGAGAUGGGCACGCGCAAGAUUAGAUAGUUGGUGAGGUAACGGCUCACCAAGUCAAUGAUCUUUAGGGGGCCUGAGAGGGUGAUCCCCCACACUGGUACUGAGACACGGACCAGACUCCUACGGGAGGCAGCAGUGAGGAAUAUUGGACAAUGGGUGAGAGCCUGAUCCAGCCAUCCCGCGUGAAGGACGACGGCCCUAUGGGUUGUAAACUUCUUUUGUAUAGGGAUAAACCUUUCCACGUGUGGAAAGCUGAAGGUACUAUACGAAUAAGCACCGGCUAACUCCGUGCCAGCAGCCGCGGUAAUACGGAGGGUGCAAGCGUUAUCCGGAUUUAUUGGGUUUAAAGGGUCCGUAGGCGGACUCGUAAGUCAGUGGUGAAAUCUCAUAGCUUAACUAUGAAACUGCCAUUGAUACUGCGGGUCUUGAGUAAGGUAGAGGUAGCUGGAAUAAGUAGUGUAGCGGUGAAAUGCAUAGAUAUUACUUAGAACACCAAUUGCGAAGGCAGGUUACCAUGUCUUAACUGACGCUGAUGGACGAAAGCGUGGGGAGCGAACAGGAUUAGAUACCCUGGUAGUCCACGCCGUAAACGAUGCUAACUCGUUUUUGGGUCUUCGGAUUCAGAGACUAAGCGAAAGUGAUAAGUUAGCCACCUGGGGAGUACGAACGCAAGUUUGAAACUCAAAGGAAUUGACGGGGGCCCGCACAAGCGGUGGAUUAUGUGGUUUAAUUCGAUGAUACGCGAGGAACCUUACCAAGGCUUAAAUGGGAAUUGAUCGGUUUAGAAAUAGACCUUCCUUCGGGCAAUUUUCAAGGUGCUGCAUGGUUGUCGUCAGCUCGUGCCGUGAGGUGUUAGGUUAAGUCCUGCAACGAGCGCAACCCCUGUCACUAGUUGCUAACAUUCAGUUGAGGACUCUAGUGAGACUGCCUACGCAAGUAGA
rnacentral:rRNA from 1 species